GCCGACAUAGCUCAGUUGGCUAGAGCAGCUGAUUUGUAAUCAGCAGGCCCGGGGUUCGAAUCCUCGUGUCGGCACCA
rnacentral:tRNA from 22 species